GACGAACGCUGGCGGCGUGCUUAACACAUGCAAGUCGAACGGAAAGGCCCUGCUUUUGUGGGGUGCUCGAGUGGCGAACAGGUGAGUAACACGUGAGUAACCUGCCCUUGACUUUGGGAUAACUUCAGGAAACUGGGGCUAAUACCGGAUAGGAGCUCCUGCUGCAUGGUGGGGGUUGGAAAGUUUCGGCGGUUAGGGAUGGACUCGCGGCUUAUCAGCUUGUUGGUGGGGUAGUGGCUUACCAAGGCUUUGACGGGUAGCCGGCCUGAGAGGGUGACCGGCCACAUUGGGACUGAGAUACGGCCCAGACUCCUACGGGAGGCAGCAGUGGGGAAUAUUGCACAAUGGGCGGAAGCCUGAUGCAGCAACGCCGCGUGCGGGAUGACGGCCUUCGGGUUGUAAACCGCUUUCGCCUGUGACGAAGCGUGAGUGACGGUAAUGGGUAAAGAAGCACCGGCUAACUACGUG
rnacentral:rRNA from 1 species